CCAGCAGAAUACACAUAGUAAAAUUUAACAACUAACCCUUAUCAUAUUAGUUUACCCUAUGUUUAUUCUCUCACAGUUGGUAAUUUCAAGGUUCUUUUCUACUUUCACUUCUCUAUAAAUGUUUUGUUAUUUUGCUAAAAUACUGUGUAAACUCAAGUUUUAACCAAACUUUUGAGUUAUUCAUCUCUGGAGACUCCCAUGUGUCAGAAGCAUGAUAUACUGUUGAUAAACUUUUGGUUCUUUUUCUGUUAAUCUCUUUUUUGUUAUAGUGGCCCCAGCUAAGAAUUUGGAAGGGUGAAAAGAAAGUUAUUUUUUCUCCCUUACACUGGUAAAAUGAUAGCUGCAAGGAUGUCUGUCACGGGACAAUAAAGUGAAAAAUUUACCAUUCACUAUCUCCAAACUAUUUAGAGGUCCCAGUUUGUUAAGGAAAUCGAAGGGUGUGAUCAACAGCUCGUGCACUGCCGUGCUGCGAACCCAGAGUUCAGGCACUGACGUGGCGCUUCUGAUGGGUAGGUACGUGAUGUAACCCUCACUUGUGCUUUGAUUCUGUUACCCGCUUCCACACAAUGGGCUCCCCGCUCAAGGCAGGUGCCUCACUGAAUUUCCCGUGUUAGUGUCUGGUUGGCACUGUGUCUGUCCAUCUAUAUUCAGUUGCUGUAAUUGUUUACUGUGACGAUCAGGAGAGUUCUUGCCCAUGCGAUUGCGUUAUCAGCCUACUUGGUGAGCUCCGAUACCCCUGAGCUCAGUUUAGCUCAAAGCCCAGAAAAGCCUUUGUUUUAACUAGAGCCGAUUCUGCACAUCUGAGAGGUGUGGCACAUAACUCCCGGGCAUGUUUGGGGUUUUAAUCCAGUUUAUACUGGUG
rnacentral:lncRNA from 1 species